rnacentral:rRNA from 1 species
CCGGGGCGCUGCUUAACAUGCAGUCGACGGCAGCAUGAUCUAGCUUGCUAGAUUGAUGGCGAGUGGCGAACGGGUGAGUAAUACAUCGGAACGUGCCCUGUAGUGGGGGAUAACUAGUCGAAAGAUUAGCUAAUACCGCAUACGACCUGAGGGUGAAAGUGGGGGACCGCAAGGCCUCAUGCUAUAGGAGCGGCCGAUGUCUGAUUAGCUAGUUGGUGAGGUAAAGGCUCACCAAGGCGACGAUCAGUAGCUGGUCUGAGAGGACGAUCAGCCACACUGGGACUGAGACACGGCCCAGACUCCUACGGGAGGCAGCAGUGGGGAAUUUUGGACAAUGGGCGAAAGCCUGAUCCAGCAAUGCCGCGUGUGUGAAGAAGGCCUUCGGGUUGUAAAGCACUUUUGUCCGGAAAGAAAUGGCUCUGGUUAAUACCUGGGGUCGAUGACGGUACCGGAAGAAUAAGGACCGGCUAACUACGUGCCAGCAGCCGCGGUAAUACGUAGGGUCCAAGCGUUAAUCGGAAUUACUGGGCGUAAAGCGUGCGCAGGCGGUUGUGCAAGACCGAUGUGAAAUCCCCGAGCUUAACUUGGGAAUUGCAUUGGUGACUGCACGGCUAGAGUGUGUCAGAGGGGGGUAGAAUUCCACGUGUAGCAGUGAAAUGCGUAGAGAUGUGGAGGAAUACCGAUGGCGAAGGCAGCCCCCUGGGAUAACACUGACGCUCAUGCACGAAAGCGUGGGGAGCAAACAGGAUUAGAUACCCUGGUAGUCCACGCCCUAAACGAUGUCAACUAGUUGUUGGGGAUUCAUUUCCUUAGUAACGUAGCUAACGCGUGAAGUUGACCGCCUGGGGAGUACGGUCGCAAGAUAAACCAGAAGUGUAGUAGAGAGCAGCAGA